GGCGACCAGAGAAGGAAAGCAUGGCGGGGAGGUCCCCCUGCAGAGGGACCAUUGACCUUGGAGGAGGUGGCCAUUGAGUUCUCUCGGGAGGAGUGGGCCUGCCUGGACCCUUCCCAGAGGGCCUUGUACAGGGACGUGAUGCUGGAGACCUGCAGGAACCUGCUCUCCCUGGGGGAGGAUGUCUUACUCCAGAAGUUGGGGGUCUGCCCUUGGAUAUCUUUGCAUUUUCCCUGUUUGCUUUUCACCUGCCUUGCUUAGUUGAGCUCAAAGCCCAGUGGACUCAGCUUAUAGAUAUCGCUCAUAUGGAUGUGACCAGGAAACUAAAGCCAAACACCGACAGAGGUGACGUAUUCCAAACACUGAUGCUGGGAAGACAUGAAAGCCAGGAAAUCAAACAUUCGUAUCAUCGGGAAAUUGAGGAAAAUACGUGUGACCAUGGUUGUCCGUGGAGAGGUGAUGAAAGAAAUUACAAAACUACCCCUACAUCCCCUGACCAAAAUGUCACUGAUAGAAGAUGUCACCAUUCAAGAAGGGAUACAAGACACAAGCAUGUUGGAAACAGACUUGUGUUAGGCUUUCAGGAUGAACGGACUAUGUUUCAAGAUGAACCAAAAAGUGAUGAAUUUAAUCAAGCCGAGAAGAGCAUCCACCGUAGGUCUCCUACUGCCCAGGCCAGCAUAUCUAACAUGGACAGGGGCGACUUUCUUCAGACAUCAGCACUGACACAGGUGCAGAGCACACACAGGGAAGGACCUCACACAUGUCACCAGUGUGGCAAAACCUUUCCCCGGGGCUCAAAUCUCAGGAGUCAGCAGAGAAUCCACAUGGCAGAGAAGUUACCCAAAUGCAAUGUAUGUCACAAGUUCUUCCGCUGAAAUUCAGACCUUGUAGUUCAUCGACGAAUUCAUACUGGCGAGAAACCUUAUAGGUGUAAUGUGUGUGGCAAGGCCUUUAGUUGGAAAGGAACUAUAUCAGCUCACUGGAGAAUUCAUACUGGCGAGAAACCUUACAAAUGUAACAAGUGUGGCAAGACCUUCCCUCUUGGCUCAUACCUCAGAAGACAUCAGCUCAUCUGCAUUCAAGGCAAAUUAUAUAAAUGUGACAAUUUACAUAAAUGUGACAACUGUGGCAAAGUCUAUCGUCAGAAUAUAUCCCUCAAACAUCAUCAGAGGAUUCAUACUGGAGAGAACCUUUACAAAUGCAGUCUGUGUGGGAAAACCUUUGUUUGUGGCACAGGCCUCAGGGCCCAUGAGGUCAGCCAUGCAGGAGCCAAACCAUAUAAAUGCGAUUUAUGCGGCAACGUCUUUGGUCGAAAUUCCUAUCUUAAGCGUCAUCAGAGAAUUCAUACCGGAGAGAAACCUUACAAAUGUCAUUUUUGUGAGAAAACCUUUGUUUUUAGUACAGGCCUCAGAAAACAUGAGAUAAUCCACACAGGGGCAAAACCAUAUAAAUGUGAUGUGUGUGGGAAAGUCUUCAGUCGCGAUUCAAUCCUUGCUCAUUAUCAGAGGAUUCAUACUGGAGAGAAACCUUACCAAUGGAGUGAGUGUGGUCUUUAGGAUGGAAGGAAACCUCACAGUUCAUCAGAGCAUUCAACCUUACAAGGUCUUUACUCAAAGUCCAACCCUUUCAAGUCAGAGAAAACAUUAUGGUGAGCAACCCAGUGGCGCUGCGGUUCGACCGGAGACGAAUAGAAGCUCUGGAUCGUGAUCCGCCUCACUCGCCAUCUGGCGCCUGGGAAAUCGUUGUCACUUGACCUACAGGAGCAUGUGGCGG